AACGAACGCUGGCGGCAUGCCUAACACAUGCAAGUCGAACGAUGCCUUCGGGCAUAGUGGCGCACGGGUGCGUAACGCGUGGGAAUCUGCCCUUGGGUUCGGAAUAACUCAGAGAAAUUUGAGCUAAUACCGGAUGAUGACGUAAGUCCAAAGAUUUAUCGCCCAAGGAUGAGCCCGCGUAAGAUUAGCUAGUUGGUGGGGUAAAGGCCUACCAAGGCGACGAUCUUUAGCUGGUCUGAGAGGAUGAUCAGCCACACUGGGACUGAGACACGGCCCAGACUCCUACGGGAGGCAGCAGUGGGGAAUAUUGGACAAUGGGCGAAAGCCUGAUCCAGCAAUGCCGCGUGAGUGAUGAAGGCCUAGGGUUGUAAAGCUCUUUUUACCAGGGAUGAUAAUGACAGUACCUGGAGAAUAAGCUCCGGCUAACUCCGUGCCAGCAGCCGCGGUAA
rnacentral:rRNA from 1 species